AACGAGCAUGUUGAGACCAAUGUGAUAAGAGAAACAUUUGGUUUUGGUAUCUACACAAAAGAUACCGGUUAAGUGCAAUAGCCAUUUCCCGCUUCGAACUAAACUUUGAGUAGCAGCUUCAAAACCCUCUCCUCUCCUCUCCUCUCCUCUCCAUUCCAUUUCCCCCUAUUUCACAAAUCAUUAGGGUUUCGUUUUACUCUCUCAUUCAUAGAAUAGAAUACAACCAUGGCUNNN
rnacentral:lncRNA from 1 species